CAGUUCACUGACUCUGUGUGUUUUGCAUACGGGUCCUGCCUCUCUGCUCCCGGCCGUUAAGAGGCCAGUGUUGAUCAGUGGCUGUCCAGGUCUUUCACAGCCACAGCCAUGAAGUGUGUGAAUAUCCUGCUGGCCACGCUGGGGCUCCUUGUUCAGGGUUCAUCAGGAGAAAUCGUCCUGACUCAGACUCCUGGAUCUCAGUCUGUUGUUCCAGGACAGACUGUCUCUAUCAGGUGUAAAGCCAGCACACUUAUAGGUGAUGACAUGAACUGGUACCUGCAGAAACCUGGAGAAGCUCCUAAACUCCUGAUUUAUGAUACUACAGCACGUCAGUCUGGAGUUCCAGAUCGUUUUAGUGCGACUGCACAUCAGACUGACUUCACGUUGACCAUCAGAGCGGUUCAGACUGAAGAUGGAGGAGUUUAUCACUGUCAGCAGCACAACAGCUUCCCGUUCACACAGUGAUACAACGUCGUACAA